rnacentral:rRNA from 1 species
UACGUAGGGGGCUAGCGUUGUCCGGAAUCAUUGGGCGUAAAGAGCGUGUAGGCGGCUUGUUAAGUCUUGCGUGAAAUCUCGGGGCUCAACCCCGAGCGGUCGUGAGAAACUGGCAGGCUAGAGUGCGGGAGAGGAGAGUGGAAUUCCUGGUGUAGCGGUGAAAUGCGCAGAUAUCAGGAAGAACACCCGUGGCGAAGGCGGCUCUCUGGAACGCAACUGACGCUGAGACGCGAAAGCGUGGGGAGCAAACAGG